GUUGUUUGGAAUGAAGUUUGCUCCAAGAUUCCCGUUGGCUUUCGUAGGAAUCUCGGACCAGGCUUCAUUCUUGACAAC
rnacentral:pre_miRNA from 11 species